GCAAAACCAUCACCACACCUGCUGCUAAACAUUUACAAGACUAAAGAUUCUUCCACAAUGCAGUUAAUUACUAGUUGCAGCCUGAGUUUUAAUUCUUCGGCUCCUCUUUACUCGGUUGGAACAUCAAGAGCAAUUGACUGAUUGCAUAUACUUGCUGCUGGUCCACAAUUAACACCGCCUGAACACGCUUCAUGGGACAUCAUGGGGGUUGGAAAUUGGAAAGUUGGUUCAGCUGCGGGAUUAUUGGUCGAAGAUGAUCCUUUCCCUUUGUACUUGUAGUUGGUUAGAUCAAGAACUUGCACAAUCAUCUCAGUUAAACAACAAAAUCAAAGUACUAAUUUGAAGUUCAAUUCAAUGAUUCAGCUUAUUCAAUUCAACCUGUAGAUGACAAUUCUUUCACAGCCAUCCUUAGACAAAGCUAAGAUAUGGUGAAAGCAUCCCUAAUCUUUGUAUGUAACAACCCACAAAAGCCACACCAACCCACACUUCCACAUAUUCUGAAAAUCAUCUUCCCAUUAUUAAAAUCACCCUUAACAAAAAAAAUGAAGAAGAAGAAGAGAUUUUCGAAUCUACUUUCUAACAGGCCAUCCAUUUGCACGCCAACGACUCUUGCUCGAACUUCUGAAAUCAAAUGGAUACUGCUUCUUCACGCUUCAGUUGGACUCUUAGAGUGGUCAACAAUGACGAGUGGGAGUUUCGACCAACUGUGUUUCUGGAUUUGAGGAUUAAGGUUUACAAUGUCACUAUGCGUGAGAACUGUGGUGUGAUUUUGCGUUUUUGUGGGCUUUCAUGAUUGCACUAUGAUCGGACAUCAACGCUGGUCGGGUAGUCGGAUGUUGGCCGGAGAUGGAGAAAGGUAAGCGACGAGCUUCUCCGCCAAGUUUUUGGG
rnacentral:lncRNA from 1 species